rnacentral:rRNA from 1 species
AGUGAACGCUGGCGGCAGGCUUAACACAUGCAAGUCGAACGCCCCGCAAGGGGAGUGGCAGACGGGUGAGUAACGCGUGGGAAUCUACCUAGUUCUACGGAACAACUGAGGGAAACUUCAGCUAAUACCGUAUACGCCCUACGGGGGAAAGAUUUAUCGGAAUUAGAUGAGCCCGCGUAAGAUUAGCUAGUUGGUGGGGUAAUGGCCUACCAAGGCGACGAUCUUUAGCUGGUCUGAGAGGAUGAUCAGCCACACUGGGACUGAGACACGGCCCAGACUCCUACGGGAGGCAGCAGUGGGGAAUAUUGGACAAUGGGCGCAAGCCUGAUCCAGCCAUGCCGCGUGAGUGAUGAAGGCCUUAGGGUUGUAAAGCUCUUUCAGUGGGGAAGAUAAUGACGGUACCCACAGAAGAAGCCCCGGCUAACUUCGUGCCAGCAGCCGCCGUAACAC